UACGUAGGUGGCGAGCGUUGUCCGGAUUUACUGGGCGUAAAGGGCGUGCAGGCGGUUUGUUAAGUGCAGAGUGAAAGCUCCCGGCUCAACUGGGAGAGGUCUUUGCAUACUGGCAAACUCGAGGGAGGCAGAGGAAAGUGGAAUUCCCGGUGUAGCGGUGAAAUGCGCAGAUAUCGGGAGGAACACCAAUGGCGAAGGCAGCUCGCUGGGACGGUACUGACGCUGAGACGCGAAAGCGUGGGGAGCAAACAGG
rnacentral:rRNA from 1 species